GCGGGAAUUCGAUUAGAGUUUGAUCAUGGCUCAGAACGUACGCUGGCGGCACGCCUAGCACAUGCAAGUCGAACGAAGUAGCAAUACUUAGUGGCAGACGGGUGAGUAACAUGUAGGUAUCUACCCUUUGGCCUGGAAUAACACGAGGAAACUUGUGCUAAUACCGGAUAAGUCUUUACGGAGAAAGCUUUAUGCACCAUUGGAUGAGCCUGCACUUGAUUAGUUUGUUGGUGGGGUAAUGGCCUACCAAGACUUUGAUCAAUAGCUGAUUUGAGAGGAUGAUCAGCCACAUUGGGACUGAGACACGGCCCAAACUCCUACGGGAGGCAGCAGUGGGGAAUCUUGCACAAUGGAGGAAACUCUGAUGCAGCGAUGCCGCGUGAGUGAAGAAGGCCCUUGGGUUGUAAAGCUCUUUCGUCGGGGAAGAAAAUGACUGUACCCGAAUAAGAAGGUCCGGCUAACUUCGUGCCAGCAGCCGCGGUAAUACGAAGGGACCUAGCGUAGUUCGGAAUUACUGGGCUUAAAGAGUUCGUAGGUGGUUGAAAAAGUUGGUGGUGAAAUCCCAGAGCUUAACUCUGGAACUGCCAUCAAAACUUUUCAGCUAGAGUUUGAUAGAGGAAAGCAGAAUUUCUAGUGUAGAGGUGAAAUUCGUAGAUAUUAGAAAGAAUACCAAUUGCGAAGGCAGCUUUCUGGAUCAUUACUGACACUGAGGAACGAAAGCAUGGGUAGCGAAGAGGAUUAGAUACCCUCGUAGUCCAUGCCGUAAACGAUGUGUGUUAGACGUUGGAAAUUUAUUUUCAGUGUCGCAGCGAAAGCGAUAAACACACUGCCUGGGGAGUACGACCGCAAGGUUAAAACUCAAAUGAAUUGACGGGGACCCGCACAAGUAGUGGAGCAUGUGGUUUAAUUCGAAGAUACGCGCAGAACCUUACCAACACUUGACAUGUUCGUCGCGACUUUAAGAGAUUAAAGUUUUCGGUUCGGCCGGACGAAACACAGGUGCUGCAUGGCUGUCGUCAGCUCGUGUCGUGAGAUGUUGGGUUAAGUCCCGCAACGAGCGCAACCCUCACUUUUAGUUGCCAUCAUUUAGUUGGGCACUCUGAAAGAACUGCCAGUGAUAAGCUGGAGGAAGGUGGGGAUGACGUCAAGUCCUCAUGGCCCUUACGUGUUGGGCUACACACGUGCUACAAUGGUAUUUACAACAGGAAGCAAGACGGCGACGUUAAGCAAAUCCUUAAAAAAUACCUCAGUUCGGAUUGCACUCUGCAACUCGAGUGCAUGAAGCUGGAAUUACUAGUAAUCGUGGAUCAGCGUGCCACGGUGAAUGCGUUCCC
rnacentral:rRNA from 1 species